UUGUUGAACACACUUUCAUUAGUCUUUGGUUCAUUUAUUUGUGUAUUUGGACCCUAAUAGUUCAUACAGUUUGAAUUUGAACCCUCCAGGUGCUGCAGAGCUAUCUUUAUACUCAUUUUGGUAAUAAUCGAGUGGAUUUCUACAAUCUGUUUUAAUUUCUUCUUAAUUUGUUACGUUUACAACUAGUUACGUCAUGACAUUUGCACAUAUAAGGUCAAGAC